CCUACGGGAGGCAGCAGUGAGGAAUAUUGGUCAAUGGACGUAAGUCUGAACCAGCCAAGUAGCGUGCAGGAUGACGGCCCUAUGGGUUGUAAACUGCUUUUUUAUGGGAAUAAAGUGAGGGACGUGUCCCUUUUUGCAGGUACCAUACGAAUAAGGACCGGCUAAUUCCGUGCCAGCAGCCGCGGUAAUACGGAAGGUCCAGGCGUUAUCCGGAUUUAUUGGGUUUAAAGGGAGCGUAGGCCGGAGAUUAAGUGUGUUGUGAAAUGUAGACGCUCAACGUCUGACUUGCAGCGCAUACUGGUUUCCUUGAGUACGCACAACGUUGGCGGAAUUCGUCGUGUAGCGGUGAAAUGCUUAGAUAUGACGAAGAACUCCGAUUGCGAAGGCAGCUGACGGGAGCGCAACUGACGCUUAAGCUCGAAGGUGCGGGUAUCAAACAGGAUUAGAUACCCUGGUAGUC
rnacentral:rRNA from 1 species